GAUGAACGCUGGCGGCGUGCCUAAUACAUGCAAGUCGAGCGAACAGACGAGGAGCUUGCUCCUCUGACGUUAUCGGCGGACGGGAGAGUAACACGUGGAUAACCUACCUAUAAGACUGGGAUAACUUCGGGAAACCGUAGCUAAUACCGGAUAAUAUAUUGAACCGCAUGGUGCAAUAGUUAGAGUCGGUUUUUCUGUCACUUAUAGAUGGAUCCGCGCCGCAUCCACUAGUUGGUAAGGUAGUGGCUUACCAAGGCAACGAUGGGUAGCCGACCCCAAAGCGUCAUUGGCUACCCUGGCACUGAGACACGGCCCCGACUCCUACAGUGGGACGCAGUCCAGACUCUUCCGCGAUGCAGGAGAGCUUGACGGAGGAACGUGGCGUGAAUCCUGAUCCUGCUAUGCCCGUAAAGCUCUGUUAGUAUGAGAGUUCUAAUGUGCUUUUACCUAGGAUGAUAAUGACGGUACCGAGUCAAAAAGCCCCGGCUAACUCCGUG
rnacentral:rRNA from 1 species